UACAGAGGGUGCAAACGUUGUUCGGAAUUACUGGGCGUAAAGCGCGUGUAGGCUGUCUCGCAAGUCGGGUGUGAAAGCCCUGGGCUCAACCUAGGAAGUGCACUCGAAACUGCGAGACUUGAGUCCUGGAGAGGAAGGCGGAAUUCUCGGUGUAGAGGUGAAAUUCGUAGAUAUCGAGAGGAACACCGGUGGCGAAGGCGGCCUUCUGGACAGUGACUGACGCUGAGACGCGAAAGCGUGGGGAGCAAACAGG
rnacentral:rRNA from 1 species